GACGAACGCUGGCGGCGUGCCUAAUACAUGCAAGUCGAACGAGAGCGCCCGGUGCUUGCACUGGUCAAUCUAGUGGCGAACGGGUGAGUAACACGUGGGUAACCUGCCCAUCAGAGGGGGAUAACAUCCGGAAACGGAUGCUAAAACCGCAUAGGUCUUCGAACCGCAUGGUUUGAAGGGGAAAAGAGGCGCAAGCUUCUGCUGAUGGAUGUACCCGCGGUGCAUUAGCUAGUUGGUGAGGUAACGGCUCACCAAGGCGGGUAUGCGUAGCCGACGUGUGGGGGGGAUAGGCGACAUGAGAGCUGAGACACGGCCCAAACUCCUACGAGAGGCAGCAGUAGGGAAUCUUCGGCAAUGGUCGCAAGUAUGACGGAGCAAGGCCGCGUGAGUGAAGAAGGUGUUCGGAUCGUAAAACUCUGUUGUUAGUGAAGAACAAGUGCUAGAGUAAAUGUUAGCGCCCUGACGGUAUCGAAUCAGAAAGCCACGGCUAACUACGUG
rnacentral:rRNA from 1 species